UACGGGGGGGGCAAGCGUUGUUCGGAAUUACUGGGCGUAAAGGGCUCGUAGGCGGCCAACUAAGUCAGACGUGAAAUCCCUCGGCUUAACCGGGGAACUGCGUCUGAUACUGGAUGGCUUGAGUUUGGGAGAGGGAUGCGGAAUUCCAGGUGUAGCGGUGAAAUGCGUAGAUAUCUGGAGGAACACCGGUGGCGAAGGCGGCGUUCUGGACUGCAACUGACACUGAGAAACGAAAGCCAGGGUAGCAAACGGG
rnacentral:rRNA from 1 species